rnacentral:rRNA from 1 species
GACAGAGGGUGCAAACGUUGCUCGGAAUCACUGGGCGUAAAGGGCGCGUAGGCGGGGAUGUAAGUCGGGCGUGAAAUCCCCGGGCUCAACCCGGGAACUGCGUCCGAUACUGGCAGGCUUGAAUUCGGGAGAGGGAUGCGGAAUUCCAGGUGUAGCGGUGAAAUGCGUAGAUAUCUGGAGGAACACCGGUGGCGAAGGCGGCAUCCUGGACCGAAAUUGACGCUGAGGCGCGAAAGCCAGGGGAGCAAACGGG